rnacentral:lncRNA from 1 species
GAAUAUACAAAACCUACACGCUAGUAACGCCCCAAUAGUCCCAUAUCAGAUGGAAAAAUUAUUUUGAUUAGAAUAUAUGAGGCCUAUACGAUAGUAAUAAUAGCUAGUCUUAAGCAUUUUGGACUGGUGGUUUGGGCUCAACGAAUUAUUAUUGCUGGCGGAUCGGGUCAUUACAAUUGGUAUCAAAGCUGAAUACCAGCCGGAAGUGUGAGAGCUAAGUGCUAUGCGAGGCCAAAGGGUUUGGUGGGAGCCACCUCUUGAACCCGUAAGAGCCACCUCUACAAUCUCACAUCGCCCAAUAAUUCUAGUCUGCAUUUGUGAUCUAGGCUUGGAUCUAACGAGAACGUCAGGGUCUAAACAGGGGGAGUUUGUAACGCCCUAAUAGUCUCACAUCGGAUGAAAAUAUAUAAGGUUUACACGUUAGUAAUAAUAACUGGAUUUAAGAAUUUUGAGUCGGCGGUUUAGGGCCCAACGAGUUAUUAUUGCUAGUGGGUUGGGUCGUUACACCAUCGCCCACUUCACUACCUCCAAACGCAAUAAAAAUUGCAACAGACGCGUCACAUGAAGUAAAUGAUAUACUUACAGCAGUUCAAUUUGGUGAUCAAGUACAAGAAAGGCGUCCACAACAAACAGGCUGAUAU